rnacentral:lncRNA from 1 species
AGCAUCAUUCCUCAUACAUACAAUCCGGUGUAUUACCUCCCCUUGACCUCCCCUUGACCGCCCUAUGACCACCCUUGACCACCUAGCACCGUCCUAACGCCGCCGCCGGAAAUCGCCUCAUGGCGGCAGCCGGUCACCAAACCACCCCAACUUUGCACCACCGGACCACCAUGACCCCCUCUUCCUCUUUCUGUAAUUAGUUUCUUUCGAACACACACAGAUCUGCUCGAAUAUUCAAAACAAGGGUCGUCGUAACCACCGUCUCAGGCGACCCAAUCCCAAACCGUCCCAAAUUUACACCAUAGGACCCCCUAGACCUCCUCUUCCCUGUCCUGCAAUCUGUUCCUUUUAACCAACUCUACAUCGCCUCGAAUAUUGAUUUGAAGUUUAACCUUAAAACCAAAACCCCACCGUAUCCUGGUCAAACUAACCUCAGACAGUCCCCGUCUGUUCCCUUCCCCAACCAUACCACCCACAGCCCUCAAAUACCACUAACCACCAAGGAAAUCCAGAUCUGAGACCUCACUUGGUCUCAGAAUCACAAAAUUCCAUUCUUGAACCCGUGAAUCUAUUAUCCGCAAGGCCAGUUUCUCUAGAAGGUUAGAGACCUCCGCAGAAGAGGUGAGAAACCAACAGAAUGGGUUCAACAUAGAGUUGCAUGUGUAAAAAGCUAAGUAUUAUCUGUUCAUUUCGUUGUUUGUGUGUCUAUUUUAGUUUGUUUUCCACAAAUAACCUUCUUUGAUUGUUAUAUUCAAUGAUUCUUUGGGGUAUUUCUAAUUGGACUAACCAUUCCUGAACCCCCAAGCCCAUUAUUCCAAAACUAGUUGUCCUAGAAGGUUAGAAGCCUCCACAGAAGAGGUGAGAAACUAACGGAAUGGAUUCAAGUUAGAGUUGAAUGUGUAAAAGCUAUGUAUUCUGUGUUCCUUUCGUUGUUUGUAUGUCUAUUUGCUUUGUGUACUUUACAAUUUUAUUUGUUUUCCACAAAUAAUCUUCUUUCCUUGUUAUAUUAAAUGACUCUUUGGGGUAUUACUGGUUGGACUACAUCUUUUAUAAUGGUCUGAUGUUAUAUUGACUUCUCAGUUUGUUUUCACCUCUAAAGUUUUACAUGGUUUGAAGUUUCAUUUUUGAAAUUUACAUGUCUCGUUGAUCUUCAUCUCUUGAUUUUCAUUUUCACCCCCUGAGAUCCUGAGUAGUUUUGCUAAAUACUUUUUGAAUCCUACUUGUACAUGAUUCUUAGAAUAUUCAUUCUUGUUUGUCGUUCUGCUACUCACCAUUAGUUCUAUUGAUUUUUUAAGUAGCAUGAUCUUGAGUGCAUUCUUAGGGUUGGUUGAUCAUCUCUGAAAGUCUUAGAAAUAAUCAUUUUGGCCUGCUUCAUACCAUGCUUAAAAUUCUAGUUAGGACUCUUUGCUUAAUUUGCAUUUGUUGAGGCUAAGUUUGUGUGAAUUUCUGAUAUUAGUCAUGUUCUCAUCUCCUUUCUUGCUUUUAAGAAGUAUUGAGUUUUUGUAAUUGGGUCACUUCUAUAAGUCAUGCACUAGUUGAUUAGUGCCCUCUCCUGGUCGAUUUCAUCCAUUUGUUUUGACAUAAAGAUGCAUGAACAUUUAUAUGAUCCUAAAGUUAUAAUAAUUAUUGAUUGAUCAAUCCAUAUUAGGAUAUGUAGUUGUAUGGGCUAAUUGUUAAACUUAUCUAAUGAGCUUGUUAAUCCAGACCAAACUUUGGCCCAUAACUUAACCACAAUUGACCUGGGUCAAUUUUAACCAAACCAAAUGACAGAUUAAGGUUAAAACUUCAGGUUAGUUAAUUAGGAACGGAAAUAGGGGUAUAAAAGAUAUUUGAGCUUAAUAGAAUUUGGUAACAACCCCUAGAACAUUCUAGUGAGGGACUUAGGUAUAAUUUCAGCCUCAAACUGGAGGCACAAGUCCGGAAACUAAGGACCAUUCAGCAAAAAAACUGAAAUCUGAAUCAGAGACUAAAAGUAAAAACAAGGAAAAGUGUUGCCCUAAGGCUUCACUAUGAAAGAGCAAUCUGAACAUUUAGAGGAUGGGAUUUUUUUUAAAUUUUGGGAAUAUAUUUUUUAUCAGAUAUUUCUCUGAAGUUAGAGUGAAUUGAGAUAUAUAAAUACAUAUUAAUUUCCUCUAUAUUCUAAAAAAUCCUUAGUGCUGCUCUCAUUCCUGUGGAAUUUUGGUCUCUUUAAAGCCUUUCCUAAAAUCUGGGUGUUUUACUGUUCAAUUGGUUGCUGCUUGUUUGCUGAUUAACAUCAGUUACUCAUAGGUUUUGUUUCCUUGCUGAAUUCCAGGUAUAUUCUGAUGUCCAUUGAUGUAUGGAGCUUAAUUUGAAUACCUUUCCAAUUUCGAAGAUCUGUAUUUAUCAUUUCCUCUUUGAACCCUCACCCUUUUUCCUUCUCUUUUAGCUUUAGUAUAUUUCAUGAUAGAGAUAAUUACCUUGUAAUAAUUAGAUAUUUGGACUAAUUUGUCUUGUAAU